rnacentral:ncRNA from 1 species
UAAAUGACGAGGAACGGACGAAGUAGACUGUUUAUCCCUUUUUGAGAGAGCCGGUGGUUGCUGCAAAUCGGUAAAUAUAAACGGUGCGAAUUACAUCCUGGAGUCAAGUCACGCAGGAAAUGGCGUGAACGGUUAAAGCCGUUAUGGAAUGAAGUGAAAAGUUGGGUGGUACCACGUUUAAACACGUCCCUUCG